rnacentral:lncRNA from 10 species
CUAGGCGCCUUAGGGAACAGGGAAGAAGGGGAUGUCCCUCACCUGUGUUCAGGACCUUCUUGGUAAAUGAUUCCAGGACUUCCAUGCGCAUUAUGCUGGUGCUGCACCUAUAACUCACCAAGUCCAAAUGGAGUCUGUCUUCCCCCACUCCACCCUCCCCUGCAUAUCCCAAUCCACAUUCUGUUAGAUCUGUGCCCACCUUACACACAGCCUUUAAUUUCCCACCCCAACUAGUGGGAUAAGUGCCCAUAAGACUCCAGUUUCUGUGCCAUUCCAUUUUCCGUGCAGCUGCCAGGAAUACUGAUAAAGUGAAAAUCAAUAUUUAUUAUUUCCCGGCCUCAGAUAUUGUCUUCCCUUCAGGAUAAAGUGAAAAAUCUUCAGCAGGGGCGCAGAGAUGCCUUCCGUACACCUUUGCAUUCUGCAGGCCCCCUCCUCUGCCUUCCUUCCACAGGCCACCUGCCUUCAGGAAAUCUGUUGCAGAGUUCCCAGCACCAAUACCCAGGACUCAGAGAAGGUGAGGGACACAAGUAGUGGGAUGGUGUGGAGAAGAACCCCCUCUCAGCUCUUUGAUUGGGGUUGGUGGAGGGCAGGGCCUGGCAUAGUUUCCUGACACCCAGCGCCUCUCCCCACUGCUUACUCCACGCACAAAAUUGGCCAGACAGCACACCCAGGCCACCAGCCCCAGGCCAGCAUUUGUUCCAUAGACUGAUCUCCCUCUAAAAUGUCUCAGUGUGGCCGGGCGCUGUGGCUCACACCCGUAAUCCCAGCACUUUGGGAGGCCAAGGCAGACGGAUCACUUGAGGCCAGGAGUAUGAGACCAGCCUGUCUAACAUGGUGAAACUCCGUCUCUACUAAAAAUAGAAUGAUUAGCCAGGUGUGGUGGUGCACGCCUGUAAUCCCAACUACUCCAGAGGCUGAGGCAAGAGAAUCACUUGAACCUGGGAGGUGGAGGUUGCAGUGAGCUGAGAUCACGCCACUGCACUCCAGCCUCGGAAACAGGGCGAGACUCUGUCUCAAA